ACGUAGGUGGCAAGCGUUGUCCGGAUUCACUGGGCGUAAAGCGCGCGCAGGCGGUCUUCUACGUCUGGGGUGAAAACCCGGGGCUCAACCCCGGGACUGCCUUGGAUACGGGAUCGCUUGAGGAUUGGAGAGGCAAGGGGAAUUCCACGUGUAGCGGUGAAAUGCGUAGAUAUGUGGAGGAACACCUGUGGCGAAGGCGCCUUGCUGGCCAAUUUCUGACGCUGAGGCGCGAAAGCGUGGGGAGCAAACAGGA
rnacentral:rRNA from 1 species